AAUGCAAUUUUACUCAGUAAAGCAAAUGAUUAGAGGUCUUGGGGCCAAAUCAAUCUCAAACUAUUCUCAAACUUUAAAUGUGUAAGAAGCCUGGCUCACUGGCGUGGAGCCAGGCAUGCAAAAAAC
rfam:Chlorocebus sabaeus isolate 1994-021 chromosome 22, whole genome shotgun sequence.